rnacentral:rRNA from 1 species
CCUACGGGGGGCUGCAGUGGGGAAUAUUGGACAAUGGGGGCAACCCUGAUCCAGCCAUGCCGCGUGUGUGAAGAAGGCCCUCGGGUUGUAAAGCACUUUCAGUGAGGAAGAACGCCUGGUGGUUAAUACCCAUCAGGAAAGACAUCACUCACAGAAGAAGCACCGGCUAACUCCGUGCCAGCAGCCGCGGUAAUACGGAGGGUGCGAGCGUUAAUCGGAAUUACUGGGCGUAAAGCGCGCGUAGGUGGCUUGAUAAGCCGGUUGUGAAAGUCCCGGGCUCAACCUGGGAACGGCAUCCGGAACUGUCAAGCUAGAGUGCAGGAGAGGAAGGUAGAAUUCCCGGUGUAGCGGUGAAAUGCGUAGAGAUCGGGAGGAAUACCAGUGGCGAAGGCGGCCUUCUGGACUGACACUGACACUGAGGUGCGAAAGCGUGGGUAGCAAACAGGAUUAGAUACCCCGGUAGUC